GUCAGUGAUAAGAAAGAUCUCUGUAGAAGAAGCUAAUUACCGAUUUGUCGAGUCCAAGUCCUCUUGUUCUGUCGUUAACGUAGGUUUUCCUUUUAUUAUCCAUUCUUCAUUCAAAGUAGACCGUACAAUUUUUUUCGAUGGCUGGAGUUUUGGCAUUUCUCGUUCCACUAGCUGCAUUCGUGAUCAUCGGGGCGGGAGCCGUGCUCUUUAUUCAGGCCAUCGAACAGAGACCUAUGUCUUUGGAGUAUGACGACCGAGAUGAUAAAUUCAAACGUGGAGGACGUCCACCAUCAUCUUCCCCCAUCAAUCGAAAAAACAGUACUCUGAAACAAAGGAUCACAAAUCCGUGUAAAAUUUGCGGCGCGAAUAUUCCGGUGACUGAGUGCAAACUACCGUGUAAUCAUGAAUUUCACGAGAAAUGCAUCGUUGCUCAUUUUAAAAGAAAUCAGAAUUUUCAGAAAAUUGCGAAAUGUCCAGCACGUGGUUGUAGUAAAGAUUACUCCAUUGCGAUUUGAUUUCUGAAGAGUUUAUUUGGAGGAAGAUGAUCUCGUAGAAGGAUCCAAUUUGUACAUAGUUCGGAGCUCGGUCUUCUAACCAAAGACUGAAACAUUCCGCGUUAUAAUUAGUUAUGAAUACUUUAAUAUUCUAGGUACUAUAUUACUUUCGUAGGCGAUGAAAAAACUAAGUUUACGAUUGUAAAUUAAAUUCAAUUUUAAUUUUUUUUUUUCAAAUAUUUUUUACACUUUACCAAAAUAAUUAAUAAACUGCCAUACUGGGAUUAUUAUUACCAAA